UUCCGGUCUUCACUAGUCCACCGCCACCUUCCUGCAAUGGCAAUGAGCUGGUCAGGGUAACUAGUCAGGGUAACUAGCAUCUUCAGAUAGCAUUGCAGCACACGAGAUUGAGAAAAUCAACACCCACGCGAUACGAAUCGAUGAGUUGCGGCGGCGGUGGCGCGGGGGCGGGGGACGGCGGGCUGGCCGAGUGGCAGCGCAUCUACGACCGGGUCGAGGAGCUCGCCGCCGGCCGCGCGCGGCUGGAGGCGCGCAACAGGACCCAGCACGAGUUCUGGGACGCCCGCGACAAGAUCAACCACUCCCGCCUCCACCAGGCGGAGCUGAGCAGAAGCAGGUGGGAGGUGGCCUGCAGGAAGCUGCUCCCUUCCGAUGAUCCCAAGCUCGCCGAACUGCUUCAGAUUGAUUUGGAGGAUUCAAGAACUUGUGAAGCUCUUUUGGACACUGAAAACUCAGAACUGCUGGUACAACUAAAGGAAGAUGGAACUUGUGUAGAGCUUAAUGAAAACACUGCAGAUCAUGAGCACACUUCUGGAGAUUUAGUAUCAGAGCUAAGAAAGUUAAAGCGAACCUAUGAGACCAUAUACUGGAACAAGGAUAAGGAAGCCACUGAAGCAGUGCAAAAGCUUCAACAGAAGAUAGAGGAGCUGCAAGUGGCAGCCUGUAAGAAGGAUGAUGAGAUUGGAAUAGUGCAAGCAGAAGCUUCUACUUGUAUAAAUAAGUGAAUGGUUCUAAAGGGUAAACUAGAUGAAAUGCGAUCUUUGGAUAAGGACAUUGACAUCCAAAAGUUCAAAGUUGGGCAACAUGAGACUCUUGAACGCAAGAUUGCCUCCUUACCAAAUAUACAAUCAAAGGAAGCUGGAAAUAUUGUAGAUAUUAUUCAAGAGAAUGUGGACCAUGGGGCUAUCACAGGAGAUUUAAGAGCGGAGCUCAGAAAACUGAAGCAAGCUUAUGAGACCCUGAGCUCAAACAAGGAUAAGGAAAUUUCUAAAUUACUUGAAAUGAAGGAUUUUCUUUUGAACCAACUGAUGAGAAUGGACAAGGAUAAUGCAGAGCUCCUUCAGAAAAAGGAAGUGGAGGCAGCACAUGCUAACGAAGCAGCACAAAAGCUUCAGCAGAAUGUAGAGGAGCUGCAAGUGUCAGUCCGAUAUAAGGAUGAUGAGAUUGGCAGAUUGCGAGCAGAAGCGGGGGCCCUAAAGAUAAAGGAAGUGGAGGCAGCACAAGCGAACGAAGCAGCACAAAAGCUUCAGCAGAAUGUAGAGGAGCUGCAAGUGUCAGUCCGAUAUAAGGAUGAUGAGAUUGGCAGAUUGCGAGCAGAAGCGGGGCUCCUGAAGAUAAAGGAAGUGGAGGCAGCACAAGCUAACAAAGCAGUGCAAACGCUUUAGCAGAAUGUAGAGGAGCUGCAAGUGGCAGUCCGAAAUAAGGAUGACGAGAUUGGCAGAUUGCGAGCAGAAGUGGGGCACCUUAAGAUAAAACAAUUGGAAGCAACACAAAAGCUUCAGCAGAAUGUAGAGCAACUGCAAGUGGCAGUUCGAAAUAUGGACAUCGGCAGAUUGCAAGCAGAAGCGGGGACCCUUGACAUAAAACAAAUGGAGCCAGAACAAAAGCUUCAGCAGAAUGUAGAUGUGCUGCAAAUAGAAGUACAAAAGAAGUUAGACGAGAAUUGUAUAUUGCCAGCCGAAGCUGCUAAUGCGGAAAAAAAAGUACCGACUCUUGAGGUAACAGAUAGCACUAACCAAAAACGGCCGAGGCCUCUGCAUCAACAAAAGCCUUAGCUGCUGUGGUUGCUGCUUCAGCAUCUCCACCCGGCGCAAGCUCCAAGCCAGGGGCGGGGAUCGACAUCGACCUGACCCCUCCCCGGCCUGUCGACGACAGGGAGGCCAGCCCGCCCUUCCCUCCGGGAUUCGGGCCGGUGGCCCGAUUCAAGGACACAACUACCACCGCUCCGACAGCAACCUUUGCGGUGGUGGUUGGGAAGGAGGACGGCAACCCUGACCAGAGCAUCCCUGGUACUACUGAUGAUGCGGGUGGGCUCGACAUUGACACUGCCCCCCUGCCUCCUGCAGCAACAACAACCAAAACCAAGAGCAGCAUGCUGAAGGGCAAGCCAAGACCAAAGGUGCAGAGCAAGGCUGAUAAGGAAGGUACAGAGCUGGAUUCGAUCCUAGGGAAGAGGAUGGAGUGCAACAGGCCAGAGUCUAAUGUAGGUCUAGGGGAAAAUAAGGAGAUGAACAGAGACAUGUAUAAGAAAAUGAGAGGGUCUCUUAGUGGAGAGGCUGAGAGCAACAUAGGUGUGUUAGGCGGUAAGGAAGCUACCGGUAUAGGGGCUGCCGGGAACUGACGGGUGCAAAGGAUGACGCCUGUCAGGAAUAGCUGGAACUGUGGAUGAUGAUUGGGGAUUUCAACGAGACUAUGUGGCAAGGGGAGCAUUUCUCUGCUGCAAAACGGUCUGAAACAUAUAACAGGGAAUUUCAGAGUGUCUACCUUGGUGUAACUUGUACGAUCUCGGCUACCAAGGGCCGGGUUGGACGUAUGACAAUAAACAAGCAGGAUGGGACAAGGUACAUGCAAAGGCUGGAUGUGUGGCUGCUCGAUCCAGAAUGGAGCAUAUUGUAUUAUUCUUAGCUCAAGAUCAGACCACUUUCCUCUCCUACUGACUACUGUCAUAUGGGAGGGACCGCUCUCGAAAGAACACGAACACCUCGUUCAGCUACGAAUUGAUGUGGGAAAGAGUGGGGUCGCUGGGACCCGCAGUUCAGGCGAUAUGGGAUGGCGAGGGUACAGUACAAAGCCUGUCCGAGGUUGCACUGAAGUUGGGAAAAGUUCAGACGUCGUUGGCAGCUUGACCUAAAAAAGAUUUCAGUUUAGUCUUUAGUGUCAUGGAACAUAAAAAAGAAGAGACAGAAGCUUAGAAGACUUAUGCAGUCGCAGAGGUCCAGUGCUAACGAUGAGAAAAUUAAAAGGGUGUCCGAUGAGUUGGAUGAACUUCUGAUUUCGGGAGGAGAUGAUGUGGCUACAGCGGUCGCGUGCCACUUGGCUGAGAGAAGGGGACCAAAACACGAAAUAUUUCCACAGCAAGGCUACUUGGCGCCAAAAGAAUACAAUCAAGAGAUUGAAGGACAAUGCAGGGGUACGGGUUGAACAGAAAAGAGGCCAACGAAAAGGUAACUGAAUUCUUCAAACAACUGUACAACACGAGGGAAGGGGAAGUAACACCAUAUGAGCUACUCGAGCUCCCAGCUCGUUCGAUUUCAGGUGACAUGAAUGACAGCCUAACGAAAAGGUUUACAGUAAAAGAGAUCAGUAAUGUGCUUUUUCAGAUUGGUCUACUGAAGGCGUCAGACAGUUUUCCCGCCCGGUUCUUCCAACAGAACUGGGAAACGUUAAAAAAGCAUGUUAUCAACGUAGUGUUGCAUUUCUUUGAGGAUGGGGUCAUGCUGGAAGGGAUUGAUGCCACGAUCAUAGUGCUAACCCCGAUAGUAAAAAACAAAUCCACAAUGCUGUAAACACUUUAGACCGAUCAGCCUGUGUAAUGUGAUCUACAAGGUAAUUUCUAAAUGUCUGAACAGAUUACGGCCGUUCCUUGAUAGUUUGAUUUCUGAAACCCAAAGUCUUUUCAUUCCGGGCAGGAUGAUUACAGAUAAUGUCAUCAUAACCUUCGAGUGCUUCUAUAAAAUUCAACACAGCA